GCUGCAGUAGGAGGCGACGCAAACGCAGACACGCUGGAGUCGCUCAGUUUUAUUACUCUUUCGGCGUGUGUGUGCAUGUGGUGGUAUUUGGGCCGGUCUUAAGUCUUUCUCACUGGACGAGCGAAAGAGAAGUCAAAUGAACUUGUAUGACAAAAUAAGCAGAUGUGAAUAUUUUGCAAUCUAUUCAUUCUCAUCAAGAGGUCAUGGGAUCUCCCGGAGUUGACCCCCUUGGCCGCAGCGCCCGACAUGUGUGGUCCUCGCCCGGAGAACCAUUUGUGCUGAAGACAAACGCGCGUGAACGUGUGGGCCCUUCACGUUAUCUCUAAAUAUGAACAAGUGGAGUGAAGGUGAACUAUUGAACUUGAAUUUGAUCCUUGCACGGCGAGAAAAAAAAAAUGGUGCAGAGGUCCCAGUGAGACUUUUACCUCGGUCGGUAGUCAACAGGACAGUGUCAGCGCCGGUCUCUCGGGAAGGGCAACGAUUCGGGUUGAGGUGGAGGUCGAGAGCUCCUCGGUAAGGCCGACGCGACGACGGAAAGGCUUCCAGCAGCUGUCCGGACCGUAGACCCACCGGGUCUGGACUGGGCCUCAAAUGGUGAGCUUUGCUGUAAACACAAAAGAAAUAUAUGGGUGAGGAGUGGACAGCUGUGAACCCAAGUUGACCCUGGGCCAGCUCGGCUACACAGUCCACGUCUCAAAGUACGUGGUCAGAUUAACAUAUAUGAGAAGAAAAAAAAAUAGUUUUGAAUGUGAUUUUUUGGGAAAUCGUCAUUUUUGGCGCGGCUUUUUUUUUCUUGCAGCGUGUUCAAUGUUUGGGAUGUUUUGAAUGCUUGUAAGCUAUACUUUUUUUUUUGUUGGAUAUCAUUCGACUAACUCAUAAAAAGAUCCACAUCAUAGUGACUCCCAUCCAACCCUUCCGGGAACAAAGAGCGAGUCUCCGUCGCAUAAAUCAUGACAUUGGAGGGUGAAGACUUGAGAUGGAGAUGCAAAGUAGUGAUUAUGGUUUGGGGAAGUCUCCAGAGAGAGCGUGUAAGUCAACAUAAUGUCAUCUGCAGCGAUGUAAACACAAUGGCGUGUUUGUGUGUCCUCCCCACGCCUGCCAAAGUUGAUUCCAGCCUUUGAAUGUCGGGAGGAUGCCGCAUCGUGUCCCGUGGAAGUCAAAUUGUGGAAGCCCAAAUUGUCACGUCAUUGCAGUUAAUGAUGAUAAUCACCCUGCUUGGGUUCUUUAGGACAUUUCACCUUGUAUCAUAAUUGCUUUGAAAGAUUCUUCCGUCUAAUUCCACAAGGCAUCGUUCUAAUCUGGAGAUGUAAAAUUGCCAUUUUCCCAGACGUCUAAUCGAAAUGCUCAUGAUUGUCAUCAAUGAGGAAAGGCUUUGCAUAUUGCAGUGACAGGGAAACUAUAAAGAGUCACGUUUUGGCUGCUCCAAUGUGACUUCUUCAGAGCUUCCUCAAAGAAGACACAAUUGAGCUCCAAACAAGUCAGCGCUCCCGAACCUAGCCUAGACUCGGUGGCGUCUCCUCCACGAGUCCUGCGUUGGGGCGUGUUGCGCGCAGGUGUACACUCAUACACACACGAGGUGAGUUUUUCCGUCAUGUGUCUGUGACGCAGCCUGACAACAUUCUUUGUGCAUUCCCAAACAACUGCAGCAGCUCUGAUCUUCCACGCUGGCACGUCAUGUUUUACAAGCUCGUCGCAAGAGGAGACCCACGUGGAGCCAUGAGGCUUCAAGAUGGUGGACACAAAUGGAAAACCUGAUACCAUGCGACGGACAAAGAGUCAAGGGUCAACAGUAACCACUCUUCCGUCCUUAUUGGGCACAACAGGAAAAAAUAUAUACUGGGUGACUAACAUGUGCAAUGAUCAAUUUAUGUUGUGGCCCUAUUUAAUUAAAAAUAAUAUGUUGUAAUAUUUUUGGUUGCAUGCUUGACUACAUUUUGGUAGGACAUGAUUUAGAUUCAUUGGUUGGACUUGAUUAACUUAAAAUAAAUAAAUACUGUUAUAAAGUGAAA